AACCUCAUCAACCAGAAGGAAUCCCUUCCGGUUGAUGAGGUGUAACAGCCCCAUUGACCGGAAGGGAUUCCUUCCGGUCGAUGGUGUUGUUGUAUCUCAUCGACCGGAAGGGAUUCCUUCUGGUUGAUGAGGUUGUUACACCUCAUCGACCGGAAGGGAUUCCUUCUGGUUGAUGAGGUU
rnacentral:miRNA from 1 species